rnacentral:rRNA from 1 species
CCUACGGGCGGCUGCAGUGAGGAAUAUUGGUCAAUGGACGAGAGUCUGAACCAGCCAAGUAGCGUGAAGGAUGACUGCCCUAUGGGUUGUAAACUUCUUUUGUACAAGGGUAAACCUGAAUACGUGUAUUCAGCUGAAAGUACUGUACGAAUAAGGAUCGGCUAACUCCGUGCCAGCAGCCGCGGUAAUACGGAGGAUCCGAGCGUUAUCCGGAUUUAUUGGGUUUAAAGGGAGCGUAGAUGGGUUGUUAAGUCAGUUGUGAAAGUUUGCGGCUCAACCGUAAAAUUGCAAUUGAUACUGGCAGUCUUGAGUACAGUUGAGGUAGGCGGAAUUCGUGGUGUAGCGGUGAAAUGCUUAGAUAUCACGAAGAACUCCGAUUGCGAAGGCAGCUUACUAAACUGCCACUGACAUUGAUGCUCGAAAGUGUGGGUAUCAAACAGGAUUAGAUACCCCUGUAGUC